GUGCUCGCUUCGGCAGUACAUGUACUAAGAUUAGAAUGAUACAGAGAAGAUUAGCAUCCUGCGCAAGGAUAACACGCAAAUUCGUGAAGCGUUCCAUAUGUUU